rnacentral:rRNA from 1 species
ACGAACGCUGGCGGCGUGCUUAACACAUGCCAGUCGCACGGAAAGGCCCUGCUUUUGUGGGGUGCUCGAGUGGCGAACGGGUGAGUAACACGUGAGUAACCUGCCCUUGACUUUGGGAUAACUUCAGGAAACUGGGGCUAAUACCGGAUAGGAGCUCCUGCUGCAUGGUGGGGGUUGGAAAGUUUCGGCGGUUGGGGAUGGACUCGCGGCUUAUCAGCUUGUUGGUGGGGUAGUGGCUUACCAAGGCUUUGACGGGUAGCCGGCCUGAGAGGGUGACCGGCCACAUUGGGACUGGGAUACGGCCCAGACUCCUACGGGAGGCAGCAGUGGGGAAUAUUGCACAAUGGGCGGAAGCCUGAUGCAGCAACGCCGCGUGCGGGAUGACGGCCUUCGGUUUGUAAACCGCUUUCGCCUGUGACGAAGCGUGAGUGACGGUAAUGGGUAAAGAAGCACCGGCUAACUACGUG